GGGCCCGCACAAGCGGUGGAGCAUGUGGUUUAAUUCGAUGAUACGCGAGGAACCUUACCAGGACUUAAAUGCAUAACGAUCGGUUGAGAAAUCAACUUUUCUUCGGACGGUAUGCAAGGUGCUGCAUGGUUGUCGUCAGCUCGUGCCGUGAGGUGUCAGGUUAAGUCCUAUAACGAGCGCAACCCCUAUUCUUAGUUGCCAGCGGUUCGGCCGGGGACUCUAAGAAAACUGCCAGCGCAAGCUGUGAGGAAGGUGGGGAUGACGUCAAAUCAUCACGGCCCUUACGUCCUGGGCCACACACGUGCUACAAUGGUAGGUACAAAGGGCAGCCACUUGGCGACAAGGAGCUAAUCUCUAAAACCUAUCUCAGUUCGGAUUGGAGUCUGCAACUCGACUCUAUGAAGCUGGAAUCGCUAGUAAUCGC
rnacentral:rRNA from 1 species